rnacentral:lncRNA from 1 species
AUUGGAUCACUGGUCAAAAUUUAUUUCACUUUUUAGAUGAAAUUUUACUUUGGUAUAGUUAUUUGAUAAUAAUUGAAUAAUUAAGUAGCGAGAUAAUUUCUAACGGUUAACGUGACAUUGUGACAAUUGAAUUAACUAUUACUUCACUUAUUUUGUUUAAACCCUAGGGACCACCACUAAACCUACACCACUAUAUAUUUUUCUAAUUCUAUGAUUUUUCAUCCAAAGUUUUAAAAAUUUGAUAGUAAAUGAGCCAAAAUACUAUUAAUAGUAUUCUAGCCCAAUUCUCUGUCUCUCUUUCUCUCUGCUUGAUGCUUUUAACUUUUUGACCAUUAAAUUAAAAAUUGUAUGGUUGAAAUAAUAGUGCUCCCUAUAAUUGAGUGGUCCCUAUAGGAUAAUAAGUUACUCCAUCGGUAGCUGCACUGUCCAAAUCAUUUGCUCCCAAUUAUUUGUUUAUACAGCUUAUCCUUAUCUCUCAGUCCUCAAUUCCCAAAAUAUCUACUUCAAGAUCUUCCUU